GGAUUGCCUCAGUAACGGCGAGUGAAGCGGCAGCAGCUCAAAUUUGAAAUCCGGCCCCCUCGGGGCCCGAGUUGUAAUUUGGAGAGGGUGCUUCGGGGCGCGCCGCCGGUCCGAGUGCCUUGGAACAGGCCGCCGUGGAGGGUGAGAGCCCCGUACGCGGCCGGCGGACCGUCCCCGCGCGAAGCCCUUUCGACGAGUCGAGUUGUUUGGGAAUGCAGCUCCAAGCGGGUGGUAAAUUCCAUCUAAAGCUAAAUACAGGCCGGAGACCGAUAGCGCACAAGUAGAGUGAUCGAAAGAUGAAAAGCACCUUGAAAAGGGGGUCAAACAGCACGUGAAAUUGCUGAGAGGGAAGCGCUGGCCCCCAGACCUGCUUCGCGGGCGAUCCCCGGCGGCCUCCGCGCCGCGGGGGCUCCACGCCCGCGUUCAGGCCAGCACGGGUCCGGGCGGCGGGACAAAGCGCCCGGGAAUGUAACUCCCUCCGGGGAGCCUUAUAGCCCAGGCGGUCAUGCCGCCCGCCCGGACCGAGGACCGCGCUGCGGCGAGGGUGCUGGCGUAAUGGGGGUCAGCGACCCGUCUUGAAACA
rnacentral:rRNA from 1 species